AGAGUUUGAUCCUGGCUCAGAACGAACGCUGGCGGCAGGCCUAACACAUGCAAGUCGAGCGAGAAGCCACCUUCGGGUGGUGGACAGUGGCAGACGGGUGAGUAACGCGUGGGAACGUGCCUUUCGGUUCGGGAUAACCCAGGGAAACUUGGGCUAAUACCGGAUACGCCCUUCGGGGGAAAGAUUCAUUGCCGAAAGAUCGGCCCGCGUCGGAUUAGCUAGUUGGUGGGGUAAAAGCCUACCAAGGCGACGAUCCGUAGCUGGUCUGAGAGGAUGACCAGCCACACUGGGACUGAGACACGGCCCAGACUCCUACGGGAGGCAGCAGUGGGGAAUAUUGGACAAUGGGCGCAAGCCUGAUCCAGCCAUGCCGCGUGGGUGAAGAAGGCCUUAGGGUUGUAAACCCCUUUCAGCGGGGAAGAUAAUGACGGUACCCGCAGAAGAAGUCCCGGCUAACUCCGUGCCAGCAGCCGCGGUAAUACGGAGGGGACUAGCGUUGUUCGGAAUUACUGGGCGUAAAGCGCACGUAGGCGGAUUUGUAAGUCAGGGGUGAAAUCCCGAGGGCUCAACCUCGGAACUGCCUUUGAUACUGCAAAUCUCGAGUCCGGAAGAGGUGAGUGGAAUUCUANUGUAGAGGUGUCAUUCGUAGAUAUUAGGAAGAACACCCGGUGGCGAAGGCG
rnacentral:rRNA from 1 species